UACGUAGGGUGCAAGCGUUGUCCGGAAUUAUUGGGCGUAAAGAGCUCGUAGGCGGUUUGUCGCGUCGGCUGUGAAAAACUCGGGGGCUCAACCCCGAGCCUGCAGUCGAUACGGGGCAGACUAGAGUGCGGUAGGGGGAGACUGGAAUUCCUGGUGUAGCGGUGGAAUGCGCAGAUAUCAGGAGGAACACCAAUGGCGAAAGGCAGAUCUCUGGGGCCUAACUACGCUGAGGAGCGAAA
rnacentral:rRNA from 1 species